GACGAACGCUGGCGGCGUGCUUAACACAUGCAAGUCGAACGGAAAGGCCCUGCUUGCAGGGUCCUCGAGUGGCGAACGGGUGAGUAAUACCUUGGUGAUCUGCCCUGCUCUUCGGGAUAAGCUUGGGAAACUGGGUCUAAUACCGGAUAAGAGCUAUCUCUAGUGUGGUUGUUGGAAAGUUUUUUUGGUGUAGGAUUAGCUUACGGCCUGUCAGCUUGUUGGUGGGGUAAUGGCCUACCAAGGCGGCGACGGGUGGCCGGCCUGAGAGGGUGGACGGCCACAAUGGGACUGGGGACCGGGCCAGGCUCCUGCGGGGGGCAGGAGGGGGGAAUAUUGCACAAUGGGCGCAAGGCUGAAGCAGGGACGCCGCGUGGGGGGUGAAGGCCUUCGGGUUGUGAACUCCUUUGGCUAGGGACGAAGGUUUUUUGUGACGGUACCUAGAGAAGAAGCACCGGCUAACUACGUG
rnacentral:rRNA from 1 species